rnacentral:rRNA from 1 species
GACGAACGCUGGCGGCGUGCUUAACACAUGCAAGUCGAACGGUGAAGCGCCUUCCUUUUUGGCGGGUGUGGAUGAGUGGCGAACGGGUGAGUAACACGUGAGUAACCUGCACCCUUCUACUGGAUAACCGCAUGAAAGUGUGGCUAAUACGGGAUAUUCUGGGUCUGUCGCAUGAUGGGUCUGGGACAGAUAUUGCUUCGGUGGGGGGUGGGCUCGCGGCCUAUCAGCUUGUUGGUGGGGUGAUGGCCUAACACGGCGGUGACGGGUGGCCGGCGUGGGGGGGUGGACAGUCACAGUGUGAGUGAGACACGGCCCAGACUCGUACGGGAGGCAGCGGGAGGGAAUAGUGCACGAUGGGCGCAAGCCUGAGGCAGCGACGCCGCGUGAAGGAUGGAGGCCGUCGGGUUGGGAAUCUCGUUCGCCAGGGAAGCGGGCCUGCCUCGUUUGUGGGUGGUGUGACGGUAGCUGGACAAGAAGCGCCGGCUAACUACGUG